AACCUUUACAUUUUAAUCAAAUUAAGGCAUAAUAUUUGGUGCUAGUAAUAGCUAUAGUAAUAAACGUAAUUUAGAAUAGAGGUUGCGGACUCGGGGGCAGUACCCGACGCCUCCACCAAUACUCGAUGUUGUAUUUGUCAUCCCCGCGAAGGCGGGGAUCCAGGGUAAAGCGAGAUAAAUCGAGCUUUCAAAUAAAGCUUUAAAGUACUGGAUUCCCGCUUUCGCGGGAAUGACAUAGGGGCCGUACAAAAAGGCCUCGUCUACACAGACAUAACAUCAAAAUCUUGGGGGCGAAAUAGGAUCGACGUGCCUAAUAAAAAGAUUGCUUUUACUCGGGAUGAUUCCGCCGAUGGCUUUUGUCAUAUGGGUCAAAACAAAGAAACGCAAACGAUAAUAAUCGUGUAGGUGCAGCUUUAGCAGCUUAACCUUACGCGGCUUGGGGGUUUGCCGGGCAACAGAAAAACCCUCGC
rnacentral:tmRNA from 1 species